ensembl:lncRNA
GCAAUGAUUGAAUUAUUUACAUAACCCAGCAGAAGCGAUUCAAUAGUCUGCCCUGAUGUGGACUGUAAGAAUGAUUAGAAAAGAAGUUAUGCCUGAGAAAGGUUUGAAAGACAGUAAUAGUUUUGCUAAGUGGACAAGAGUCGAAAGGACAGUCCAGGCAGAGCAGCAUAUGUAAGCUAUACAGAAGGAAGGCAGUGAGACAGUAUGGGUUGUUCAGGGAAAUCAAAGCAGUCUGCUUUCAGGAGAAUAAAGUACAAAAAGCCUAUGUCCAGAAAUAAGACAGGAGAACCAGGUAUCAUCAUAAGGGCCUCAUAUCCCAGUAGUUUUCUCUCUCAGCUUUCUUUUCUGAUGCUUAAUUCUAGUAAGUUCUGUGAGGGUGUGGUCAGGCUCUAAGAGGCCCCAGUGAUCCCUGCAUUCUGGUAUUCACAUGCUUGUGUAAUCCUCUCCCAAAAUGCACCAGGGUUGGUCUGGUCUGUGUGCCUAAUAGCGAUGCUAGGAGCUCUGGUGGGGAAUGUUAAUAAUGGGUGAGGCUAUGCAUCAGUAGAGAAAAAGGAUACAUGGGAAAUCUCUGUAAACAUCCACUGAAUUUUGUUGUGAACCUAAAACUACUCUAAAAAAUAAACUCUAUUAAAAAAAGUGUAUGGGGAUGGUAUGUCACUUCCAAAAUUAGGCUUAAAAAGACUCUAGCUUUUUGUCUUGGGUGUUUUUCUCUCAUCUCUCACACUCUGGGAAAUGCAAAUACAUAAAAAAAUAUAAGAAACCCAUGAACCUCCAUAUACCCACCACCUAGCUUCAAAAAUUAACAGAUUUUGCAAAUUUUGUUUUAUCUGUCUCCUCUCACUCUUACUUCACCUCUCCAUCACCACUGAAGUAUUUUAAAGCAGAUCCCAGGCAUCACCUUAAAGUCAUGCACUUCAUGCAUAACAACGUUUUCGCCAUUGACAGAUCACAUAUAUGACAGUGGUCUCAUAAGAUUAUAAUACUGUUUUUACAGUGCCUUUUCGAUAUUUAGAUAUGUUUAGAUACAAAUCCUUACCACUGUGUUGCCUACAGUAUUCAGUACAGUAAGUAAUAUGCUGUACAAGUUUGUAGGCUAGGAGCAACAGGCUAUCCCACAUAGCCUAGGUAUGUAGUAGGCUAUACCAUCUAGAUUUAUGUAAGUAUACUCCGUGAUGUUUAUGCAAAGAUGAAAUCACCUAAGGACAUAUUUCUCAGAACAUACCCCUGUUGUUAAGUGAAGCAUGACUAUAUUUCACCCACAUUUGAAUAUUUAACAGAUAAGGUCUAACUAUAACAACAUUAUCACACUUGAUAAAAUUAACAUUCCUUAAUAUCAUCUAAUACCCAAUGUUAAAAUUCCCCUAGUUACCACUUAAUUUGUUUACUAUUAUACUUUGAAGUUUUCUUUUUUUCCUGUCCCUUCAUUUGCUCACGUGGUCAAAUCUCUAUUUUGUUCCUUUGCCCUUUAAUUUUAGAAAUUCUUCUAUAGUUUCUAUUCUAUUUGUGUGUGUGUAUCUGCACUACAACAGAUAUAUUUAAACAUAUUUCUCUACGAAGAUACUCACAUUAAGAGGCUGUUAUCCAUCCUGGCUAACAUGGUGAAAUCCUGUCUCUACUAAAAAUACAAAAAAAAAAAAAAAAAAAAAAA